UGAGUAGUUCCAGAGAAGGGAGUCCUGAGAAAUCAGGCGCCGCGGUGAUACCCUUUGCGACGCCAUCCAUCUAUAGUUCUUGGAUCACUUCAUCUCAGUCAAGAGCAGCUCAAAUUUCUGCAGCUAACUUGCCAGUUUUUGCUGCCUGGAAUAGCUCUUAGAGGGUUUUGUCGCUUGUUGCAUGUGAAGGUUUUGCAUGAGGCAGAAAAAAGAGAAAAUUGAAAGAAAUGUUUGGUACGAUCUGUAGGAUGAUUAGUCCUAGUGGAGGACAUAGUGGGGCCGGUUAAUAUGUAAACCAUGUGAUUGGGAACUUGUCAACUAAUCACCUUUGUUGAAAUCAAAUUUUGCAAAAUUGGAGGGAAUGAUUUCAUGGGGACCUUUUUCUAAGUCAUGCCUAGAACUGAAUCGAAUUAUUUACUUAUAAGUAGUAUUUUCUGAUUAAAUUUUAAAAUUAUAUUACUAAUUUAUCCAUUAUAUUAUAAUUUGACUAAAAUUUUUUGUUUUAUUAUAAAAUUCUAUAUAAAUUUUGAAUCGGUAGGUAUCAGUUAUUUUCAAUUUCUAAUUUAUACUACCAUAGUAAUGUUAUAUGCUGUUUGAACUUAAUCGAGUCAAAUUAUAAACUAUGUCUAUCAUGAAGUCAAAAUGUUGAGAAAUGAACUUGAGUUUACUGAUAAAAUUAUUUGAAAACUAGAGUUAAAUCUGAUGUCAAGAAAGUUAUUUUGUUUAAUUAUAUUUUGAAGUCACAAAAUUAAAAUAAAUCAAGGUUGAUUUCAACACAUCCAAAAAUCAAAUUAAAAAUAUCAAACAAAAUUAACUCUAAUUCGGACAAAAUUAUUUAGAAUUAAGUUGAACUCGAGUUUUCAACAUCCGUACCCAGACUCAAUGUUACACAUGAGAAAAUGAUUAAAUCUACUUUAAUGUUUUGUUGAUCGAAAGUACAAAACCAGCUUAAUGCCCUUCCAAUAAUGUAAAAAGUAUAUUGUUGCAUAGAGCUUUGACCAGAAUAUAUCAAUCCAUGCCCAAAAUGUUCCCAAUCUACAUGACAAAAUGAUUGCCAAUUACUAAUCUACUCUCUGCAUCAAGCUUUCCCAAAGCUAAAAGAAAUUCCCUCAUUAUUCAAUAAAGCUGAGGGAGAUAUUCUCAUAAAUAUUUAGCUGUAUUUAGUUGAUUCAUGUAAGAAUUAGAUGUGCCAUAAUUAGAUAUAAUGCCUUUCAUUAAUUACUUCUUUUAUGUUAAAAGCUAGUAUUCCACUAAAAAACGACUUGAGCUUUUGAAAUUCCUUUAGUAGUGUUAAGGAAAAGUAGUUUCACGUCCUGGGGUGCCACUAAAUUAAGAUUUAUCUUACUAUUAAUCAUCUGGUCGCUUUAAUAAUUACAGGUAAAACUUGACACGUGAGAUAGGAUGGCUAUUAUUUAAUAAAAUAUAUUGUAUUUUAAUAUUGUGUUAUUUAUGUGUCUGUUUUCAUUGAGUAACUCAUAACGCGCUCAUUUGACUAAUAAGCAUGUUAAAAAUGAAAACUUAUUUAUUUUGGGGUAAAAUUAAACAUACAUGUAUAUAUAUAUAUAUNNNNNNNNGUAAUUUAUACAUUCAAAAAAUAUACUUUUGAAUGACAAUAUAAAUAUAAUUUUAAACUAUAUGUAUUUAAAAAUAAUAUUUGUAAUAGAUUUAUAUAUACAUACAUACAUUUACAUACACACAUAUAUACAUACAUACAUUUACAUACAUACGUAUAUAUAUAUAUAUAUAUAUAUAUAUAUAUAUAUAUAUUAAAAUUAAUAAUUUUAAGAAAGUAAAUAUUUAGUUUUAGGAGAAAAAUUGUGAACAUGAUUUUCAAAUAGUUAUUUUAAAACUCAUGUUAUCUAUCUUAGUUCACCAGUUGGACUCUUACUCAUAUCAUCUCUAAAAUAUCCUCUAUUACCCCUUAAUUUGGAAUAUUUGUCUUCAAAAAAUCACACAAAUUUUAAAUUAAUACUCCCUCCGUUUCUUUUUUCUUUUCCUGUUUGUGAUGUCGGUACUGUUCAUAACAUGAGACAAAUUACUAAUUUACAUCUAAUCUAUAAAACUAAAUAUAGUCAUGAGUGAUCUUGUUAGAUUCGUAUUUACGAGCACUUUAAUACGGUGAAGUUUUUAUAUUUAAUGCUACUACGAAAUGAAAGAUAUUAACAAUCAAAAGUGUGUGUUGGCAACGUGAAAAAUACAAACAGGAAAAAUAUUUAGAGACGGAGGGAGUAGCGUGUUCUUUACAGUAUUAGAUUAUAGCAAGAUCUAAAAGGUCAAGGACACUCACUAUAUUUAGCAGACAUUGAGGAAUUUGUGGCACAGAUAGUUGAAAUUAUUGUACAUUAUGAGGCCGUUUGGGUGAGCUUAAAAUAAGUGCUUCUUGCUUAAAAUAAAUAAGUGGAGUAGAAGUUAGAAGCAAAAUAAGACUUAUAAGUGAUUAAAGUGUUUGGGAAAUAAGUAGAAGUCCUGAAACAAAAGCUAGCAUUCCUAGCUUUUUAUAAGUGUUUCUUAACUUAUUACACAAACGGUACGAAUAAGUGCUCAUAACUUAUAAUCCAGAAGCUGGGCUUAUAAGGUGGAAACAAACACCCACUAUAUUCUUAAACUACUAGUGAUAUCCAAUUAGGCAUAUGUGAGAGUACUAAAGUAGGCUAAUAAACGCUUAUUAGGAAGUGGGUAUACGUAUAUCUGAGCUGAUCAAUCACACUCAGGAACAGAAAUAUACGAGACUUUGGGCUUUUAAGUCGACUUUUGAAUGUCAUUAGACACUGUAGUCGGGGGAUUAUUAAUGUCCCGUCCGGGAUACAAGACACGUAAGUCUAAAUUAUUAAAAAAAGUUAACAUUGUAUUUAAUAUUUUUUUAAUUAUGAUCACAGUUUUAUAAAAAUGUAUGAUCUCUGAUACUAUAUUCAUUUGGAUAUUAAUUGGAUAAAAUUGUUCGAUAAUGAUUUUUAUUUUUAUAAUUUUUUUUGCCGAAUUUUUAUAAUCAAACAUACUUAAAUAUUAUAUAUGAUAGGAUUUCGGUCAUUUGUCCAAAACUACAGUGUUUUGUUAAAGAUGAUCAGCCUAGACUUAGAGCAGAGUUCAUAGGGGUCAAAAGAUUAGGACAACACUUGUGACUUUAUGUUGGAAUUUUGCUGAGAUGAAUACCUAAACAAAGUAAUUAUGAUUGGUUUUUUUUUUUUUUUUUGACAAAAUGCAAAUUCAUUCCAUUAAAUUAAAACAAGUCUAGUCGGGACAGAUCCCCAACUGACAAUGCAAUCAGGUUAAUAAACAAUAAAACGAGCUAAACAAAUAGCCUCAUUGUUUCCAGACUGCUUAACACAAUGAAUCCAAUGAUUCUUGAAAUUGAAAAUGAAUACAAAGGCUUCUCGAGUAAUCCAGCCUACAUCAAUCCCGAAAAUGGUAGCUUCACAAUUGACCUUCACAAUAGUUCCAUGGCUGUUGCGGUGUUCAGACGACUCAGUUGUAAAAACUAAGCAAUGAGGAACAAGAAUCCUCGAAUAAUGAACAACUAUAAUUUGUGAAAGGUGAGCACAUGCGAUCACCACCGUUCCAAGCAUACCCCAGCUAUCUACAUGCCGGGAGCCAGCUAUAGACAUGCCGAAAGUAUUAAUGAUGCGAUAAACCAGAUCUCCCAAAACUCCAUCCCAAUCAUUCUCAUUGAUAAUGCAGGAAGACAUAACAACCACAAAUAUAACACCCAAAAAUUGGGUACUAAAUCAACACACGCCAAAAGGCGAGACGGAAAAACACAAUCGGACCUUUGAUUUCAAAAGAUCUGAUUUUUUCAGAAAACAAUCAAGUCCAAGCUCAAAUCCGAAACAGAUCUGAAAAUAAAACUCGAUUGGAAUCUUCGAGGUUUAAGCAACACUCGAUUUUAUUGAAAAACAAAAAACAGGUAAAUAGUGGAGAAGAUGGGAGAGCGAAAAUGAUUUGGUGGAUGUAGAGGAUGAAGGUGAAGAAUGGAGAAGUGACGGCUAAUUUUGGGAGUCGACUCUCAAAACCCUUAUUUGAGAGAGAAUAACAGUAGAGCUGUUCAAGUAAUUAUGAUUGCUUUAGUCAAAUUAAAAUGAUUACUUUUCGUUUGUUGCGGACAGGUAAGAUCAGAUAAAAACAUACUUAAGGGGAUGUUUGGAGUGAGGUUGGUAAUGAGAAUCGGAAAUGGGAAUGGAGAGUAUGGGAAUGGGGAUUAACGGGAAUGAGAAUGAUAUAGUAACCCAGAGUAUGGUAAGAGUAUGAUUUAACCACCUAAAAGGAUGGCGUUCCCAUUCCAUAACACCACAGGGAAUAAUAAUAUACAUGGUUCCAGACAGGGCAACACAGGGAAUGUGAACGUUUAGCUUUGUAUAGACAAAGUGGCAACAGUUGUAGGUAAAAUAAACGAGACUGUUUUGGGGACCCUAUAGCACAUCAUAGUUGGAAUAUAUGAAACAUAAAAGCAAUUGAGAGACCAAUUCCAUCAUGUUCAGGAAGUAGGUGUUUGACCACACUACACCUUCUUUAUGUUGUUGAUAAAAAAAAAGCAAGAAAUUAAAACAUAUGAUACUAUACUCCAUUACUCCUCACUAUCCCCUUUUUCGAGCCUUGUUUUACUGUAUCCGUAAUAUUUUGAUAUUUUUCGAGAUGUCAAGGAAUCGAACUCGGGACCUUUUAUUAUCGAAAAUGCAUGCACAUCCAGUAUUCCAUAAUAUGGUGAUACUGAUAUUAUGGGUCAAGACCAACGCGGUUUGGCUCGAAAACUGGCGUUUUGAACGUUUAAUUAACCAAAAAUUUGGUGACUUUUGGUGAUUGCGAUUUUCAUAAUAUUAUCGAAGAAAAUUGAUGGGUCGUCUGGAAACAAUGAAACAUACAUAUUGUCCAAAUAUAUGACAAAAAUUGCAGAAAACGACUAAUGAUACCAUACUCUUUUUUCUUUCUGACUUGUACAGUACUGCCCUGUUUUAAUAAUUUGGCUUCAUCUUAUUGUUUUUUUACAGCAUUAUUUUCGGUUGUUUUUGGUCUAAGAACUUGAAAUUUUAACCAAAUACUAUGUAUUUACAUGAACCGAUGGUUCGUUUGGAUGAUCAAUUGAAGAUUUAAGCGACUUAUUUGGAUGGUAAAAAAGUGAAAAAAGAAAAGGGAUAGGUUUGGGAUUGAAUGAGUUAGAUGGUGACUAGUCGUGUACAUUCAAUGUUAAGAUUCCUGUAUGUUUAUAUAAUGUAGCUUGGGAAACUUGACAAUGAGGAUCCAUUUAUUUUGUUUCUGAAUCCACAGAUUUAGACUUAUCUGAAUAUUGCGUAUGACACAACGCCGACAAGCUGCCAGAAUUAAUGUUUGCAGCUACCGUACUACUGUACCGGUACGAAUCUAUACAUACAUGAAUUCUAAACCUUCAAAAUUUUUACACAAAGGACUUCUAACAAGACCUCUUCGCAUUAUUUUCUCAAAAAAAAAAAAAAAAAACCUCUUCGCAUUAUCUUAUGAGUGUCCCGUGUGGUUGGACGGUGACGUUUGAGGGGUGUUUGUUUACGGCUUUUGAGCCCAACUUCUCGUUUAUACGUUAGAAGCACUUAUUUGUACCGUUUGUGUAAGAAGACAAAAAACACUUAUAAAAAAACUAAGUGGGUGUUUGGCAACCCAUUUAAAGCCGGACUUCUUGGCUUAUAUGUUAGAAACACUUAUUCGUACCGUUUGUGUCAAAAGUCAAGAAGCACUUAUAAAAAGCUAGGAAUGCUAGCUUUUGUUUCAGGACUUCUACUUAUUUCUCAAACACUUUAAUCACUUAUAAGUUUUAACUUGUUUCUAACUUUUACUCAACUUUUUUAUUUUAAGCAAGAAACACUUAUUUUAAGAUCACCCAAACGGCCCCUAAGACUUGCUCUCUUAAGAUUAUGAGUUCGAUUUUCUGGACGCUGUUGGAGUAAGUGGGCUACCAUGCUCGGAGUAUGAGUGUGCAAACCCAACCAUAUUAGUCGAGAUACCAUAUUAGUCGAGAUGCCCGCAAGCCCACCAGGAUACGGGUUUAAAAGGAAAAAAAGAGACCUCCUUAGCAUUUGCAUUUAUAUAUCGAUAUUUUGCCAAGACCGACUAGAUCGAUUUAUAUAUGCAAUGCCAGUACUACCUGUAGACUAAUAUAGUACUAAUACUGUAAUACAAACACAGGUACUCUCCUUUCCUGUUAGACUGUGGUCUCUGGGUCUACCGCUGCCGUAGUGCAUGCAUUACCCUUCCUUUCCAAUAUUAAAAAUCCAUAGUAUUACAUAUUGUAUCCCAGCAUCCUAGCAAAUAGUUCGGUUUACUUUAAUCACUUGUUCAGUAGAGCAGGGAUAAGCAAUAAUAAUAGACUGAGGAGUAUUUUGAAUAUCUUCUUGUCACAUAAAAUUUGAUUUUUGAAUAUAGAAACAUUUUGUUAUUCGACUCCGGAGGCCCGUGCAUGCAGGGCCGUAUUCAGAGGGGGGGAGUGGGAGUACUUGCCCCGACUGACAUUCUCAAUAGGUAUAUAUUUAUACUAUCAUUCUCAUUAAAUUGUUUAUUUGCCCCCAUGGUUGAGGUGUUUUAUCUUAACCCAAGAGGUACAGGUUCGAUUUAUUAGCGGUUCUUAGACCAUCUACAACCAAGUUCUUAAGACGUAUUUUUACAUCAAAUUUGGAAAAAAUUCGUCUUCAAUCAAAUUCUAAAAAUUCGGCUCGGUUCGUUAAUAUCCCCAUAUAAGCAAACAAUCCAUUUUACCUACUUUCUUUCUAUCUCUCCAGUCUCCACAGAAAUUAUAACCCUUUGGCGCCCUUUAAAAGACCAUCCCACUCACCUCUCACUCUCAGUCACUCUACUAUCAACUACUCACUGGAAACCAUAUAUUUCCCUCUGUGCUACACAAACUUAUUGCUGUAAAACACAGUUGCUAGCCUGAGGUUUUAAGCUAGGGUUCAAGGGCAUCAAUUGUUCAUAAAGUAGAGACCAGCCCAAGGCUGCAGACAAGUUCUUUUCUUCUGCAUCAUGUAACAUAGAGGCUUCAAAAUCUUUGCUUGUCUAUACACUGAGGUCCCUGUAGUCUGUAGUGUAGCCUGUGCAAGGGUCUACUCUUUCAUACAUUUAUAUUUGUUUCUGUUAAAGGAACAAAUUUGGCUCUGAAGAAUAUUUGCUAGACUGGACUUUUGUAGAAGAUAGAAUUUUUUGGCUGGUUGUUAUUAUUAUAUCUGCACUCUUCUUGGCUUCAUUAUUUAUCUGCAGCCAACUACAAGUUCUCAGUUGAUUUAAGCAAAAAGAUAAGUGCUUAGAUUUUCUUAUAUCAUUAGAAUAUCUAACAAAAGAGUUCUUGAAACCAAAAUAAGUCAAAAAAAGAAGAAACUAAGAUGAACUCUAGUAACAGUAAUAGUGGUGCUCCAAACUGGCUAGGUUUCUCCCUAUCACCUCAUCUGAAGACUGAGGAUCAUUAUCAACCUGCUGCUGCAGCUCAUAAUGUUUCUGCAAGCCUCUACAUCUCAGCAUCUUCUAAUGGUGAGAAAUUUUUUUUUUUUUUGAAAAUUUUCUGUUCAUGACUAUGAUUUACCAGACACAUUCUUUUUACUCUUUUGUAAGGUAUGGUGUCAAGUUCUUCCCCAAGAUUGGAGAAUUUCUUAGGAGGAGGGCAUCAUCAAUAUGAAAGUGGUAUAGAAAAGUAUCACUCUCUUGACAUUAUUCAGCAGCCCUUUAGUACACAAGAAGAGAUGCAAUACCUUUCUGGCCUAACUAGCCAGAAUAUAAUGUAUCAAACCUUGCCACAAGGAGAACACAGAGAAGAAGGCCAGGUUGGGGACUGGAUUCUGGGCCAGCAUAUGAUUUCCUCUGGCCUGAUUGUUGAUGUUGGUUCUGGUUCUGUUGGGUCAAUGGGCUGUGGGGAUUUACAGUCUUUGAGCUUGUCUAUGAGCCCUGGCUCUCAGUCAAGCUGUGUGACAGCAUCAAGGCAGAUCUCACCCACUGGCACUGUGUGUUUGGCCAUGGAGACAAAGAAGAGAGGAUCUGAAAAGAUGGGUACCAAGCAGCCCUCUCAUAGAAAGUCAUUGGAUGCAUUUGGGCAGAGAACAUCUCAGUAUAGAGGUGUCACAAGGUUGGUAAACUACUCCCUCCGUCUCAUUCAUUUUUUCCGCAAUCAGAUUUCCACCUCUUAUUCUAUUAUAUUAAACAUACUGAUAGCAAAAAUAAUGAUCAAUAUUUAAUUUGUCAUAAUAACUGAGAUGAAUGGGACUAGGGAUGUAAAUUUUUGUUUCGUGUUUUUUUUUAAUUUUCUUUUUGAAUGUGCUUCUUCCUUGUCGUAGGCAUAGAUGGACUGGUAGAUAUGAAGCACAUUUGUGGGACAAUAGUUGCAAGAAAGAGGGGCAAACAAGGAAAGGAAGGCAAGGUUAGUGACUUGGUUGUUAAUAAAUCACCAAGAAAAACAUAUUAUUCAAAACAAAACAAAAAAGUCACUAUAGAACUGCUAUAUUUGGCUCAUCUUUCUUGACAAUCUAAUCAAUGCUUCUGCUAAUUCCUUGACACAUGUUUGUGCUCUUUGGCAUUCUGCUUUCCAAAUCCAUUGGUGCAUUUUGCUUCAGUAUAUCUUGGUAAGUCCUUUUGUAUCGAUUAAAAUGAAAUUAAAACACGCGUAACAAUGACGAGGAUUAUCAGUACUAAGAUAUGCUAUAUCAGGGGGUUAUGAUAUGGAAGAGAAAGCCGCAAGAGCCUAUGAUUGCGCGGCUCUUAAGUAUUGGGGAGUUGCGACACAUAUAAAUUUCCAGGUAUUGAAUUUCUAUAUUCAAGAUUUUAACAAAAGAACAAUGUGGUUUAUUGGCUUGCUCUUGUUGCAGUUGGAAAAUUACCAGCAGCAGCUCGAGGAAAUGAAAAAUAUGACCCGUCAGGAAUACGUUGCCCAUCUAAGAAGGUUUGUGAGUUCAAAUUUAACUGUCUCAGAAUGCAACAUACAGAAAUCCAGUGUUCCAAUUCUCAAUUUUUUAAUUUGUGUUCAGGAGAAGUAGCGGUUUCUCCAGGGGAGCGUCGAUGUACAGAGGGGUGACAAGGUUUCUAAUUUUUUUCAGAACAAAAUCUUUAAUGUUGACAUAAUAAUUUUUUGGGAAUUCAUUUUGUUUCUUGUGAUUAAUUUCAAAUAGGCAUCAUCAGCAUGGAAGAUGGCAAGCUAGGAUUGGCCGCGUUGCAGGAAACAAAGAUCUUUAUCUCGGGACAUUCAGUAAGUUUCUGCAGUAUUGUUCAUGAAUGUCUGGACCAAAAUCCAGUUCUAAUUGUAUCAUCUAAACCAUUAUUCUCCCAUAAUUAUCUCUGAUUAUGUAAUAUAAAGCUGCAAUGUCCUAGCUCAUCAUUUCGAAAGCACCUCAGAGUGUUCACUUUCUUGACUGUUUUUAAGCCACUACAGAGAUAUGCUUUUACAAAAGCUGUUGUUAGUCCAACAAAACCUCUUUAGCAUUAUGCAUAGUAGAUUUGCAGGACAAAUCAAAGUGGACCUUUAAUUAUGAGGCUUUUCUUUCGAUCAUAUACAAAAAACUAGAACUUUAAGAGUAUAGACUAUUGAGAUAUAACACGAUACAAUGUUGGAAAUUUUUUAGGUACCCAAGAAGAAGCUGCAGAAGCUUAUGACAUAGCUGCAAUCAAAUUCCGCGGGGUGAAUGCUGUAACAAACUUUGACAUAACACGAUACGAUGUGGAGAAAAUUAUGGCAAGCAAUACUUUGCUUGCUGGAGAGCUUGCUAGGCGUAACAAAGACAGAGAGGCCACCAAUGACGCGAUCACUACAUUUGUUAGCCCGAUGAAAACUAAUAAUGAGGAAGGUAUCCAACAGGGGCAAAAUCCAAGCGUUUUGGAUUGGAAAGUGAUGCAGCAAAAACAAAAUGCUGCUGGACAGCAUUACAAGGACUCCGCUUUCUCAAUGGCCUUACAGAACCUGAUUGGCAGUGAGACGAACUCGAGUCAACUAACAGUCAAUCAAGCAACUAAGAUCAACAACCACCAUUUGUCGAACCCUUCUUCUUUGGUCACAAGCUUAAGUAGUUCCAGAGAAGGGAGUCCUGAGAAAUCAGGCGCCGCGGUGAUACCCUUUGCGACGCCAUCCAUCUAUAGUUCUUGGAUCACUUCUUCUCAAUCAAGAGCAGCUCAAAUUUCUGCAGCUCACUUGCCAGUUUUUGCUGCUUGGAAUAGCUCUUAGAGGGUUUUGUCGCUUGUUGCAUGUGAAGGUUUUGCAUGAGGCAGAAAAAAGAG
rnacentral:lncRNA from 1 species